rnacentral:rRNA from 1 species
AACGAACGCUGGCGGCAUGCCUAACACAUGCAAGUCGAACGGGAUCCAGGCUUCGGCCUGGUGAGAGUGGCGGACGGGUGAGUAACACGUGGGAACCUGCCUUUUGGUUCGGGGAUAACCGCGGGAAACUGCGGCUAAUACCGGAUGCUCCCGAGAGGGGAAAGAUUUAUCGCCAGAAGAGGGGCCCGCGUCCGAUUAGGUAGUUGGUGAGGUAAUGGCUCACCAAGCCGACGAUCGGUAGCUGGUCUGAGAGGAUGAUCAGCCACACUGGGACUGAGAUACGGCCCAGACUCCUACGGGAGGCAGCAGGUGGGGAAUAUUGGACAAGUGGGGCAACCCUGAUCCAGCAAUGCCGCGUGAGUGAUGAAGGCCUUAGGGUUGUAAAGCUCUUUUGCCAGGGAAGAUGAUGACUGUACCUGGAGAAUAAGCCCCGGCUAACUUCGUGCCAGCAGCCGCGGUAAU